CGCGUAGGCGGCUCGGUAAGGUUGCGGUGAAAGCCCGGGGCUCAACCCCGGGUCGGCCGUGGCAACUGCUGGGCUGGAGCACUGUAGAGGCAGGUGGAAUUCCGGGUGUAGCGGUGGAAUGCGUAGAGAUCCGGAAGAACACCGGUGGCGAAGGCGGCCUUCUGGGCAGUAGCUGACGCUGAUGCGCGACAGCGUGGGGAGCAAACA
rnacentral:rRNA from 1 species